CGGAUGGUUACUCUGUUUCAAAAUUAACAGACAAUCGAACUGUUAUUGGCGAACUAGAUAAAAUUUUUGAUGUCAUUCAGCCUGUUGACGAGGAGCGUGUGAAUGUUGUUAGCUCUGACAUCAAAGCAGCAGAUGAGGUCCCCGUUAAUGAUUCUGUCUCCCGUAGCAAAGCCGAUGAGACACCUGUUUCGAAUUUUACUAAAGACAUGUUUAAAACACCCGAUGAAGAUGUCAAC